AAUAAUAAUUUUUAUUUGUAAAACAUGCAUAUAAGUGUAUCGGUAAGAAGGCAGAUUUAAAAUAAACUAGAUUCUAACAAAUAUUGGGAAUAUCUUCUACAAUUUCAGAAGAUUAGUAUCAUUAGACUUUUAAUCAGCUAUACAAACUGGCAUAUUUUUUAUAGUAUUGUGUUAAUUAAACGUAGUGACAUAUUUAGAGAUUUACCAGUGAAAGGCACCUCGGCUAGGAUAUUAGUUCAACCCUCCCCUAACUGAAUGGGCCUUUCCAAAUCUCUAUUUUUACUCUGGUUUAUUUUUUUUUUCUUUUCUUCACUGUAGAAUGGUCCAUCACUCCAUCAACUCUCCAGUGAAUUCUUAAUACUUGAAGUCUUGAUACCAGUGUGAUCAGAUACUUCUUCCUCACCCUCAUUUCCAGUUAUUUCAGAUAAUAGAGGCCUGGCAUGCUCCCAAGCACAGAUCUUAAAUUGGCAACAUUGCUCCAACAGACACAUGCAUACAGAAAGCAGAAGGCUAGACAAAACAGGAUAAUGUGAAGACUGUACUUAAUUAGCUAGACAAAACAGGAUAAUGUGAAGACUGUACUUAAUAACACAGCAAAUCAAAAUUCCCCAAAUUUGAUAAGAUUGCUGCUAAGAAAUGAACGUAUAGCUUAGUGAAAUAUAUUAGUUUUGCCCCUCUGCAGGCUAUAAAAAUUAAUGCUUGCUAGUUAAGGUUCCAAUGCAUUUCAAUAAUUUGGUUAGUAAUUACUUGCAUUUCCAGACAAUUGAGAAUAAAUACAAAAAUAUUCAAAGUUCAUUUGAAGUUCACUGACUACAACCUUUCCCAGAUCUUAAAAUGCAAUGGGGGAGAUUUUUUUACAAGGAAAGGUUAGAUUGACUCCUGAUUUAAUCACUUGCUAAGCAUUAUUAAAAUCAGUGGUUUAUACAGUUUCUUAGACCAAGAAUAACCCUCCUGUUAUUAACUCUGUACCAACUGACAGAACCCUCUUAUGCGGAACAGACCAAGGAUGUAGUAAAUAGAUGACAAGAGACACCAUAGAAACAGGAGAUAACAUAUUCCUAUGUCUUUAAUGGAAACAUUUUGUUACAAUUUAGGUUAUGUGAUAUGCUUGCAUUUUUAAAAAGUGUGAAAGAAAAUGCACAGAAUAAGAAGUCAAAGGACACCAGUGAAUGCAGCUAUUUUAUAUGACCAAGUCAUAGAAGAAAUAAAAUACAUUACACAAAUAAACAAAGGUUAUAUCCACAGUCAUGAAUACACACUCUCCUCUACACAAAACCAACAAUAAAUAAAAUCACAUUAUAUGCAGAUAGUUUACUUACAUCAGUACAAUAUACUGUGCAGCUUUCCAUUUGUUUUCUGCUGAAUUGGCACUAGGUUUCUCUUUUGUCCAGUAUUUUUCUAUUAAUAGGGAACAGUGUAAAAAAGGUGACAAAGUUCCUGUCCACAGUGUCUAUCCUGAGUCCUGUUAGUUUUUGAUUGUUACACCCUAUGCACAAGAAACACAGCAAAUUCUAGCCACUGCCUUGAUCCUGCCUCUCCAAGUGUUCUCAGCACUUCCAGACCUGCCCAGUAAAGACUUUAUUAUCUGAGAGAAACGGAAAUCCAGACAAUCCCCAAGCAGAAAGCAAUGCAGCUGUGCUCCUUGAGCCUGCUGCUAAUGCACAACACCAGCGAAACCUCUUGUUUGUUGCCCCAGUUGGGACAUAGGGGGCAGAAUCAUGUGCUCUCUGUGCAUACCAGCUGACAUUACAAAAGAGAUCCCUAAAAAAACUAUUUUUUUAUUUUAAUACCGGUUUCUGUACAUUUUUGUUGCUUGCUCAAGUGUUUUCUAGAAACAUUCAUGUCACAGAAACACAAAGGGAAAGUUCACACAGAAUGGAUUUUAACCAUUCAAAGAUUUUUCAUCUAAUGAAUCUGCCUAACAUUUCUGAAUAUAGCUUAACAUACAAACUGUAACAGAAUCAGAUUAUUCAGAGUAAUUAAUCUUUGAUGCAGAUUGAGGGAACUGUAAGCCUCUCCUUUUUGUUAGUUGUUUAUGCUGUAAAUUUGUUUUUUGUCAGUUAGGACCUUCUAAAAGGUCAAUUAUGGGAGAAGUAGUGGCAUAAUAAAAGUCUCUAUAGUGACACACUUGUCACAAUUAAACAUUAACCCAACAAAGCCUCAAAACCGUGACAGCCUUAUCUUCUUGAUCAAAACCAGCAGUAACUCCAUAAAAAGUCCAACAUUAACCUUUUUACUUUCUCCCUCUUUGUGUGAGAUAAAGGGGGAACUGCAUUUAUGACAGAGUUAAGGCUUCACUGGGGCAAACCACAGUGCUCAGUCUUUCUGUUGUUAUUCUUUAGAAGAGAACAGACACUAUUAAUGUCUGCUGCACAGCUUGCUGACCCUGCAGACAGCCAUGUCUGACAUCUCUCACAAACAGCUAUUUGUUUUAAUUUCAACAAUCAUUUUUCAUCAGUCUCAGAGCUCAGAUGUUAAAAGGUAUCUGAGAAUGGAAAACAAUUCAGCUCUCAAGCCAUUUGAAUUAAUUUCUGCUGCUAAGCAGGGAUAUGCACAGCACAAACUCUUCCAUUUCUUCCACUGGAAAGUUUUCACACACUCACAAAUCUUUUGUGCUUUCAACAGCAAGAAGGAAAGUGGGGGAGGAGAGGUGACACACGUGCACAACAUAUCUGAAAGCAGAACAUAUCUGAAAGCACUUUUCCCAGCAUGCCCUUAAAAAUACAUUCCAAGAGUUUGUUUCUAAAAAGAGUUAAAACUGACUCCUACAAAACAUGCACUUUGAAAUUUGUCCCUUUACAGCUCACUGUUGUGAGGUGAGUUACCAGGGCAUGUUGCUAACCAACAGAAAAGGUAAUGUACCAUUAGAAACUGGUAUUUCUGUUCCCAUGUGCCCUGACGUGGGUAAGGUGGUUGCUAGACAUCAUUUUAUAGCAAAAACAAUAAGGAUGAAAAAACCUAACAGGUAAUUCUAGGUCUAUAGCUCUGAUAGUGGCUGGCGUGGCCAUGGUGUUUUGACACCACAAGGUGUGUUGACAGCUGAGCAGUGCUCAGCAAUGAACCAUGUCUGAAAUUACAUAAAGGUCAACACUCUCAGUGAGGAAGGAGCAUUUCUGACUAAAUGGUAGAAAACGGCUGUCUUCUUUUCAAAGUACUUCUGAACCUAGACAAAAGACUGUGAAAAAAAAAAAGGGUAAUGAAAGACUGUUCAUUCAACUCUUGGAGAAAAUGAGGAAAAAUAACCUUAACUGCUUUACUGAGAGAACCAGAAUGCCCACAUAGCUGCACUCUGAAGCACAGAGGAGGGCAGUGAAGGAUGUGGAACUGUCUUGAGCUCCGGAAAAGGUGGACUGAAUUGCCAAAGAAAUUUAUGACCAGGACUAUUAGCUUCCUGUCUUUGAUGUCUAUUCUUGGCUUUCCAGGAGCAUUAUGGCAUUCAUGAGGUGAAAAUAUCACUGGAGCCAAGGUCAGCUAAGGCUGAUGCAGCCUGUUCUUCUGCAAAGCUGAGAAAUUGAACUGCUUCAGGCCUGCAGACACUCAUUGAGGGCCCAAAUUUACUUCCACUGAAUCAGUAGGAGGGUUUUUUUGUCAGUUUAAUGUGUGAUUGCAUUUCUAAGCCAAAAAAUGAAUCAGAGAUCAACCUCCCAGUAAAACACGUUGUCAGUUGUCAGGGAGAACUCUCUUUAUUUUGUCCAGCACAAAUGUUUUCAAAGCAUUAACUACACCUUAAAUUACUUUCCACUGAAAAACCCCAACAAAAUACUUCCAAUAAUGCAAUAGUGCAUUGUUUAAGAACAAAAUGAAAAUAGCUCAACAUGGUUUAUUUUCAGAAAUUAAUUAAUAUAAGUCUUUAAUAAACUGAAUUCUGGUCACAAUCUUCCAAAGUGCUCAAAAUCACAUGUUUUAGCAAAGAUUGAAUGUUUUCAGAGCUCAGCUAGUUGUGGUCUUCAAUGAAGCACACUAGAGCAGGAACUGGUAAUUUAACAGUGAUGGUGGUAGUCACAGACAACUCAGAACACACAAACUGUCCAUAAACAAAGGUUUCAGAACUGGCCAACUACCAGUGGCCCAGGACAAAGCACCUAGACAUCUGACUCUGAAGCUGUGGGUUUCAGGAAGCUAAGUAACAGAUACUUCUGAAAGUUGUGCUUAAUCUUUGUCACUUUCAGUAGAAGCCUUGGUGUUGAAGUUAUGAGGGUAAAAAAGCAGGAAAACUGUCCAUAGAAUCCUCAGGAAGACGAUUCUGAGAUGAAUCAGUUAUUAAGAUGACCACUGUUUAGUAAUUUUAAUAAAUACUAAAUUAGCAGAAUUUGUCAAACUUUGACAGAAUAUGAAGCCAUUAUUUUAAUUUCAAUUUAACUGGCACAACUGAAAGAACUGGCAAUAAAUAUGGCUUACACAGCCAGCCUUUCUUAAAUUCAAGCACAUGGCAAAUCUCCCUUUGGUUCAGCCGUGGCCAGGACCAUACCCUUCAGUCCCAAGUGAGCAAAGCACUUAGAAGCUGAAGUUGAGCUUAUUUUAAGUGUGCUCUGAAGUGCUGAGCUGAGUCAAGGGUCUCCUUGUGCUUCUCUGUAAUACAGAUGUAUGUUUGCAAUACGGGCAAUUUGUUGAAGCCAAAAAUGCAGGUUUUGAAACCCUUUUUGAGGAUCAAUUAUUAUUAUUUUGAUUAGACAUUCCCUUACAGAGUUCGGAGCCUAAACAUUGUGGCAUUGAGCUAAUGCAGAUGAACCAGAAAGGAAAAGCGCAUUAGCCAGUAAAGAAUCUCUCUGCUGAAUAAUCUAAACUCAAGGCAGCUUCUGAUCUGUGCUCUGUGGAAGACAUGGGAACUAUUAGCAAGAGGCCUGUGAAAGGCAGCUAAGAAGAGCAAGUUUAUUUAUACUAUGAAGGAAUCUACUUAUGUGAAAUGUUUUAAAUGGUCUCUACACUUCCAUGGGAAAAACACAUAUGUUUGUGUGCAUCAACUUGCAAACAUUAAAGCCCAUUGAUCUAAAAUGCUUUAAGGUGCAAAGAAGGUUCACCUUUCUUGGAGGUGCUGGGAUGCACAGUUUUGGUUAAGCCUAGGUCAGCCCCCCACCAACAGACAUCUCAUAGAAACACUUCUUGAGGUCAUGAUUUAAAACCCUCCACAAAGGUUUUAAAGCAUAAGAAUUAAUAUUAUUUUUAAAAGUGACCUUUCACUAUACUUUUUUAAAUAGAUAUCAUAAAAUGACAUAAUAAAGUGUCAUGAGAAUUUAUGUCCCAACCAGAUCUCCCAUCUUCUGGUGUGACUCAGCUGUGCAAGGCAUAGGAAAAAUGCACAUCUACACAAUUGUCCAACCUAGUCACUUUUUGAUCUUGAGUACUAGUUCAUACUGCAAAGCAAGUCACAACAAAAAUAAUUUCAAAAAGAACUGAUGCUUCAAGUUACCCUAUUCUCUACACAUUUAAAAAUUUUCCUUGCCUUUUUUUUCUGCAGAGUAGUCAAGUGGGUAAAACAAAGCCAAAAUACUGAAAGGCCUAUUUGCAAAACCAGAAGUAGAUCAAAACUGCUUUGGAAAGUAUAUAAAAAAAUAUCUAUCCAAACUUCAAGCAUGCCCAGGGGCUAGACAAACUCAACUGCUUGGGGAAAAAAAAAAAUAUCCAGAAACUAACCAGGAUGUCUUUUUUCCUCCCCAAGUCCAUAGCACUAUGACUGCUUCUCUAGCCUACUUGUGGUGCCCAUGAUAUAAAGAGAAUACCAUUCUUCUCUGGUGCCCAUGAAAUAAGGAGAAUACUUCAGAAAACUGUCCACUGAUCCAUGCCACUUUGGCUAAAGCACUCUUCUAGAAGUCACACAGGCCCAGACUGGGAAAUGGGAUGCUGGAAAUCAAUUUCCUGUACUGGACCUGCCCUGACAGUCAGGAAGCUUUGCCCUCUGGCUGUCUGGGACAUAGGACAAUAUAUCACAAGGGCAGCUGAUGAACCCUCCAUAUGCUAAGAAUAAAUUGAAAUCUAAGGAAAAAGAACACCAUGUCCAACAACAAAUAAAAGGUGUCAGAAAGCAGACACAGUGAGCUUUUGCUCUUCACUCCCAGGUAUCCCGAAGUGGUUUCUCAGAGUUGGUAGUCUGGCCAAAUGACUUUCAGGGCCUAAAAGUUUUGCAGAAAUCAGGCUUCAAAGCCAGUUUUGAGGUUAACUUUCAAGUCUGACUAGAACUGCUGAGACCAGAAAGCUCUGUUUAUGAAAUCAGAAUAGAAUAAACCAAAAUAUUUAAUGGACUCUCAGAAUCAUAGUCAUAGCUCUGUUUCCACACUGACAAUACUUUUAUGGAUCUUCUUCACCACAUUUGCUGUAAGUACAUUUCAUUUCCAUUUGUUGACUAGAAAAUGCAAAGCUCUCCUUUGUUCAGUAUAAAAUAACCUGUCAGUAGCUAAUUCAACACAGAUUCAUUUUUGCUUCUGGUAAAAUACAUGACAAAAUUUCCAGGGGUAUUGAUGGCAGCAGGAUUAAAGUCAGCCUCAAACAGUGUUUUAACACAUGCUUCCUGAAGGUAGCUCCUUGGAUGUUAAAUUGUACACACAUGGAUAGUUAAAUCCCACUAAUUUCUACAGGACUCUUUAACAUGUGAAAAAUGCAUUAUUUACAGCAUGAGUGUCAUCUUCAUAUAGACAAUUAAAUAACUGCAUUUGUGUUCUUUAAGUAACUAUUUGAUUGUUGCACAUGCAUGGAGAAAAAAGUUGGGGAAAAAAUCAAAUACCAUCCACAAAGUCAUUUCUCCUCCCCUAAAUACUGGUUCUAAAAUGUAUUUACAGCUGUUGACUUUCCCUGCAUAUUACUCCUAUCAUACAAAAUAUGUCUUCAAAACAUCCUCUUCCUUAAUUUUUAAUUCUACCAAGCAAAAAUAGAUACUUUAAUAGAAAAAUACAAGAUUAAAAAUAUCCUAAAAAAUAAAAUGGUAGCAUGGAAUGUCAUUUUUAUACACACAAAAAAAUCCCCUUUAGAAUUGCAUCAGCUAUACAAACACUUUCAUAUUUACAGUUAUGGAUGCAGUCCUUGUGCUCACUGAAGUUAAUGGGAUUUCACCAUUGACUUCACUAGGAACAGGAGCAGGCUUGACAUGGACUACAUCUGCCUCUCUGAAAAGUCAUGGCAGGGGACAGAAAAGAGUGUGGCAAAGCACAUAUAAGACUGAGGAAUUAAUCAGUCCUCUCCAGAGACCUGAUUGUCUUCUCUGUUACUAUUUCACAUGUAUGAAAUUCCUCAUCUUUCACUGAAGUUUUUCUAAGUCCCACCAGCUACGAGGGAGAAACAGUGCUUUUGACUGUGAUGCCACACAAACAAGGAAAGAAUGGUUUGUGUGUUUCCACCUGCCUGACUUUUUCAGAGGAAUUAAUUAGAACCAAGUGCCAGUUCUGUCCCAGAACUAAGGCCCGUACACCAACUUUCAUAUCCCCUGUUAUCAAUGUCAGUGAUUCAGUGAUGCAGGAUCAUACCCCAAACAAAUCCCUUUCUUCCUUUUGACAGCAACCAGCACCUAUGCCUCUGAAACCAUAUUUGAUACCCAUGGGUGAUAUGCAAAUAUGGAAGGAGGUCGUAGAAGCUUUAAAAAAAAAAAAAAAAAAAAAAAAAAAAAA
ensembl:lncRNA